rnacentral:misc_RNA from 1 species
UUUCCGUAGGUGAACCUGCGGAAGGAUCAUUAUUGAAUAACCGAGGUGCGAGCGCUGUCGCAGACCCGUAUGGACGUGCACGCACGAGUGCCCUCACACACAUCCAUCUCAGCCCUAUGUGCACCACCGCGGGGGUCCCCCAUCGGCCUGUUUGGAGGGGGGCUUAUGUAUUCACACCAAUUAAGUAUUCAGUGUAGAAUGUAUUUUUUGUUUUUCUGAUCACACAACCAAUCCAACCUUCAACAACGGAUCCUUUGGCUCCAGCACUGAUGAACAACC